rnacentral:rRNA from 1 species
GGUUAAGCGACUAAGCGUACACGGUGGAUGCCUAGGCAAUCAGAGGCGAUGAAGGACGUGCUAAUCUGCGAAAAGCGUCGGUAAGGUGAUAUGAACCGUUAUAACCGACGAUGUCCGAAUGGGGAAACCCAGUGCAAUUCGUUGCACUAUCGUUUGAUGAAUCCAUAGUCAAACGAGGCGAACCGGGGGAACUGAAACAUCUCAGUACCCCGAGGAAAAGAAAUCAACCGAGAUUCCCCUAGUAGCGGCGAGCGAACGGGGAGCAGCCCAGAGUCUUAAUCAGCAUCAGCAUCAGGAGAACGGUCUGGAAAGGCCGGCAAUAAAGGGUGAUAGCCCCGUAUCCGAAGGUGUUGGUGUUGUGAACUCGA